rnacentral:misc_RNA from 1 species
AAGUCGUAACAAGGUUUCCGUAGGUGAACCUGCGGAAGGAUCAUUAACACGUAUCCAAACGUUAAAACCGAGACCUCUGGCCCGUGAGAAAAUUGGAACAGUUACAAUUCGAGCGGUAGGUUUAUAGGCCUUGUUUCCCCAAGCAGUCAGAAUCAAACUGCUUUCCUCCCACAUUGAUUUACCAGAGAUUGCAAGCGCCGCGGGUUACAAGAGCAGGAUUGAAUGUUCACGGGGGGGUGCAAGGAUAGCGCUUCACGAUUCCUGUAGACCGUACACUCGGGCAGGAGCUAGGCCAAAGGGUCACCAUGCCCCCUUACAACCCCACAGUUUAUUGCAAAGCUCAAUGUAAUACAUUGGGUAAAAAAACUUGAACAACUGUUAACAAUGGAUAUCUUGGUUCUC